rnacentral:tRNA from 1 species
AGUAUUUUAACGGAUCGGUUAAGGGCUCUGGCUCCAGACUGGUAGGUCCUGGGUUCGAAUCUCACAAGUGCA